rnacentral:lncRNA from 1 species
CAAACAUAUAUAUUCGAGGCAUGGAUUAUACAACGCGACGUCUUCAAUUUUGCUGUUGUUGUCAAGUGCGUCGUCUGCUAGAGAGCGCGCUCCAGUGAGGUUA